ensembl:lncRNA
GUGAUGCCAAUACUUCUGGGGAGCACUAUCAGAGAACCACUGCCUGACAAAAGGGGUUUACUUUAGACCUGCAAAGAACCUCCUCAUGGUGGGACAGUGAGUCACAGUAUGUGGCAGCCUUGAGAGGAUGGGAUAGUGCACUUAACCACUGUGGUCUUCCUUGCAGAAAUAUACUCACCUGACAGAGGAGCCUGGUGGGCUGCCGUCUAUGGGGUGGCACAGAGUCGGACACGACUGAAGCAACUUAGCAGCAGCAGCAGCAGCAGUGUAUCACCCAGGUGGCGCUAGUGGUAGAGAAACUGCCUGCCAGUGCAGGAGAGUUCCAAGACAAUGUGCUCAAGGUGGUGGUUGAAAUGAAGGGCGGUCAGAGUCCUUUCCCCAGACAAUAUUUUGCUGCUGGUCCCCUCAGCCUUUUGGAUGCUUAUUGUUUACAGUUCCUGCCAUGGUAUCUGACGAGGUUCCAGACAAUAAGUAUCAACCAUACCUGGCAGGGGCUCCCAGGGGAUAAGACUGCAGAGUUACAUGUGAAAUGCAAAAUUUGAAGCAGAAGGCUCUCAUCACCUGGAAUUUUCUCUCCCUAAAAUUGAGCAACAAUACUGGAAAUAGUGACAACUUACAAGAGUUCGUCUAGGGCACCAGGCGCCAUUCUAAUGGGUUCAUUUCAGCCCCACAGAGGCACAGAGAAGGUAACAUGGAUACAAAGAUGAAAAAGAGAUGGUAGGACUGCCCUCGAGAAAUGUAGAGGAGAUAAACACCCAAGCAAACAAGCCAACAAAAUCCCAAACAGCCCCCAGUAAAGGCCAAUAGAAAGAGCUCCAGCAGGAAUCUUGGGUUUCCUCUGAAAGCUCCUCUGGCAGGCUUGCCUGGCUGUGCGUCCAUGUCUACCGCCAAAACAAACAUGUUGCAGGGGUGUUGUUCAUGCAUUGCCCUCGAAAACUCUUGCUGUCACGGGAUCACCCUCUUCCUGCUGAUGGAUGGUCAUUAUCUGACUCUGUUGCCAUGGAGAGGGAUGGACUCAGGUGUGUUUUUCAAGCCUGCAUAUUCCCACUGGGGCUGCAACAAGGAUGCUUCUGUACGUCAUGUUUGGCAAGCCUGUGGCAGGCUGUGGCCAGGCUUUUCCUGCAGGUCAAACCUAAUCAACUGAUCAGCUGCAGAUCAUAUCAAGACCUCUGCUUGAUACGUUAUUAGUGACAGACAUGCUUCCAUAAUGAAUAUCAUGAUGUCAUUUGACCAUAACGUUGUUGAGGUGGGGAAAGAAAACACUCCAGUCAUCAGACUUGGGAUGAGAAGGGCUUGUGUUCACAGAAACACAACUUCACGUCACUGUUUCUCACGAAGGACUGUUUUGUUCUUGAAGACUGCUGCUCAUCCUCUGAUGUUGAUUUCCUAUGUUACAACGACCUCGAUUCGUAUGCCCUGGCAAGCAGCACAAGCACUGUUUCCUGUUUCUGAACUUGUAGACAACCAUCCAUACGUCUCAUGGUUGUCAAUUCAACCAGAUAACUGUGGCACCUCCUUGAUGCUUUUUUAAAGGACCUUGGAAAUGAAGUUUUUAAUUUUUUUGGAUAGGGUAUUCUUAAUUCAUUUGGCUAAAUUUUCAUAUGACUAAUAAUCUAAAAUGAAAGUAAGUAUAAACUUGUGUCCCUGUU